UCCGGUUUGUCACCGGCAGUCUCAUUAGAGUGCUCAACUGAAUGUAGCAACUAAUGACAAGGGUUGCGCUCGUUGCGGGACUUAACCCAACAUCUCACGACACGAGCUGACGACAGCCAUGCACCACCUGUGCACCUGCCCCGAAGGGCUGCCGUAUUUCUACGACAUUCCAGUGCAUGUCAAGCCUUGGUAAGGUUCUUCGCGUCGCGUCGAAUUAAACCACAUGCUCCGCUGCUUGUGCGGGCCCCCGUCAAUUCCUUUGAGUUUCAGCCUUGCGGCCGUACUCCCCAGGCGGAUUGCUUAUCGCGUUAGCUGCGGCACGACGGGAUUGGGUACCCGCCACACCAAGCAAUCAUCGUUUAGGGCUAGGACUAC
rnacentral:misc_RNA from 1 species